rnacentral:rRNA from 1 species
UACGUAGGGUGCAAGCGUUGUCCGGAAUUACUGGGCGUAAAGGGUUUGUAGGUGGCUUGCUAAGUCAGACGUGAAAUCCCUCAGCUUAACUGGGGAACUGCGUCUGAGACUGAAUGGCUUGAAUCCGGGAGAGGGAUGCGGAAUUCCAGGUGUAGCGGUGAAAUGCGUAGAUAUCGUAAGGAAGACCAGUGGCGAAGGCGGGUCUCUGGACAGUUCCUGACGCUGAGGCACGAAGGCCAGGGGAGCAAACGGG